AGCAUGACAAACAUAAGGAUACUUUGUCUCCAGUGGAUUCCCAUUUUUAGAUUUCUUGGCCCAUGGAAGCUUGUCAUCUGAACAGCCACGUGGGAACCCGUUGUAUCCAAUGCCUAAUAUUACAUAAUUUUGACUCACCAAACAUGCUCCAACCUGCCUGUUUGGAUCCUUUGAUCGUUCAGCAGAUAAAAAUGCAAUCGCCAUAAAGUAAUCAUCCCACGACAAAUACCCUUUUCGUUUUGAAGGAUCAAAUGGAUUCCGAGAAGACGACGACUUCCUUUGAUGAAAACCGUUAACUCCCGAAUCUGGACCAGUAACAGAACGGUUUUUCGGAUUGAAAAACAAGCGAAUGGUGAUAGCAGAGGCAAAGGCACCAAACACUGCGGCAGCUGAGAACAGCGUUAGCUCUCUGGAAUUCAUGGCUUUUGAUCGGAAUCUUACAGUAGACGCGAAAACGAAGGGAUUUUUUCGCCGCCAAAAACAGAGAUUGAGCGAAAUUUUAGCGGGAACAGUAUU
rnacentral:misc_RNA from 1 species